rnacentral:tRNA from 1 species
GGGAGUUUAGCUCAGCCUGGGAGAGCAUCUGCCUUACAAGCAGAGGGUCAGCGGUUUCGAUCCCGUUAACUCCCA